rnacentral:rRNA from 1 species
AUUGAACGCUGGCGGCGUGCCUAACACAUGCAAGUCGAGCGGUAACAGGUGUAGCAAUACAUGCUGACGAGCGGCGAACGGGUGAGUAAUGCUUUGGAAUCUUCCCAGUAGUGGGGAAUAACCAGUCGAAAGAUUGGCUAAUACCGCAUACGUCUGUAAAGGGAAAGCGGGGGCUCGUAAGACCUCGCGCUAUUGGAUGAGCCAAAGUCGGAUUAGCUAGUUGGGGGGUAAUGGCCUACCAAGGCGACAAUCCGUAGCUGGUCUGAGAGGACGACCAGCCACACCGGAACUGAGACACGGUCCGGACUCCUACGGGAGGCAGCAGUGGGGAAUAUUGGACAAUGGGGGAAACCCUGAUCCAGCGACGCCGCGUGUGUGAAGAAGGCCUGCGGGUUGUAAAAGCACUUUUAGUGGGGAACAAAAGCUACGAUUAAUACUCUGUGGUCUUGAUUUAAACCCAAAGAAAAGCACCGGCUAACUCUGUGCCAGCCGCCG